UCUAAUAUGGCAGAUUAGUGCAAUGAAUUUAAGCUUCAUUAAUAAAGAUUUAUUUCUUUUAUUAGAA
rnacentral:tRNA from 1 species